UACGUAGGGUGCGAGCGUUAAUCGGAAUUACUGGGCGUAAAGCGUGCGCAGGCGGUUUUGUAAGCCAGAUGUGAAAUCCCCGGGCUCAACCUGGGAAUGGCAUUUGGGACUGCAAGGCUGGAGUAUGGCAGAGGAGACUAGAAUUCCUGGUGUAGCAGUGAAAUGCGUAGAUAUCAGGAGGAAUACCGAUGGCGAAGGCAGGUCUCUGGGCCAAUACUGACGCUCAUGCACGAAAGCGUGGGGAGCAAACAGG
rnacentral:rRNA from 1 species